UACGUAGGUCCCGAGCGUUGUCCGGACUUAUUGGGCGUAAAGCGAGCGCAGGUGGUUUAUUAAGUCUGGUGUAAAAGGCAGUGGCUCAACCAUUGUAUGCAUUGGAAACUGGUAGACUUGAGUGCAGGAGAGGAGAGUGGAAUUCCAUGUGUAGCGGUGAAAUGCGUAGAUAUAUGGAGGAACACCGGUGGCGAAAGCGGCUCUCUGGACUGUAACUGACACUGAGGCUCGAAAGCGUGGGGAGCAAACAGG
rnacentral:rRNA from 1 species